GCGAUGCCAGGUGAAAUUUUAUGCGUCUGCUUAUUAGAAAUGGUCCUAUGCGACCUCAAUAUUUAGAAGUAUGACGAAAAAACCGAACGAAACCCCUACAGUAAUAGCAAAAGUCAUUAAAAUGGACGAUUGUUUAUAAAAAUUUCGAAAAUCUGCAAAAAAGUCGACUUAAUUGCAAAGUCUGCUAACAAACGAAAUUGCAAAUUUACAUACCAAUCUGCAAACCUGGCAUCAGUGGUUCUGACGCUCAUUAUUUCGCUAUCCUGCGACGAUUCCGUCGCAUUCUAUGUCCAGCUGAAAACCACUAUAUAUAAAAAAAUGAACAAUACAUGUAAAAAAAUCGCUAUCGAAAAGAUUUAAAUACGAAAUAAAACAAUAAUCAAACAAUACACGGGCAAGACGGGUUAUCACUGGCCUGAGUGUAGUGGAUUAUUCUAAAACUGAACACCAAUGUCCAAAAACUACAUUUGACUCCUCGACGACAAUUUUUUACAAUAUUCUACGAUUUAGCUGUUUUGAAGAUGAAGUGUUCGGAAGUAAUUCAUUCUAUAUCAACCGAUCUGGUGAAUUCUUUCUUCAAACGAAAUCCUUCGGACAUCAGGUCACAGUACUAUUUUUACCUUGACGCGCAUUGUUUCGUGGAGCUUACCAUGUUGGCACUCUCCUGGAUUAAUUUUCGAGAGCGAAACGAACAAAGCAGGUGUAUCAGCAGCCGAUGAAUCCAAUAGAAAAGGAAUAAUUAUGUUACAAGAAGAACAAUAUAGGUUUCAUUCAAAUCAUAUUUUUAUUUAUUGUAUUAGCAGAAGUCAAUAAAAGUGC